rnacentral:rRNA from 1 species
UGGGGAAUUUUGCACAAUGGGGGAAACCCUGAUGCAGCGACGCCGCGUGAUUUAGAAGGCCUUCGGGUUGUAAAAAUCUUUUCUAUGGGAAGAAAAUGACAGUACCAUAGGAAUAAGGACCGGCUAAUUACGUGCCAGCAGCCGCGGUAAUAAGUAAGGUCCGAGCGUUGUCCGGAAUCAUUGGGCGUAAAGGGUACGUAGGCGGGUAAGCAAGUUAGAAGUGAAAUCCUAUAGCUCAACUAUAGUAAGCUUUUAAAACUGCUCAUCUUGAGGGAGGGAAGGGAAGGUGGAAUUCCUAGUGUAGCGGUGAAAUGCGCAGAUAUUAGGAGGAAUACCGGUGGCGAAGGCGGCUUUCUGGCCAUAACCUGACGCUGAGGUACGAAAGCGUGGGUAGCAAACAGG